UCACCGGUACAAUGGCAAGCAGUGUUCCAGUGAAUUUAUGCGCCAAUAUGCGAUAUAUUCGAGGCCCGAUCGAGCAAUAACGCGAACGAAAUAAUAGUCACUUCGCUACGGAGUUGUCUGAGAGAAUUUCUCCUAGUGUGAGACCUUUGUUGAGGUUAUUCUGCGAGUCGACUCGGAAAAUGGACAGCUUUCCCCCUCCAGAUAAAAAGAAACGUACAAAAAUCAACAAACGUGCAAAUGAACGGCGAGAUCAAGCAGAACGAAACCCAUUUUCAGUCUGACAAUUGAAGCAAAAAAGAAUCAGCAAAGUCGUUUAGAAGCUAUCAAACAGAGGAUAAGCAACGCGAAAUCGGCUCUUGGUAUAGGUAGAAAGACUUCUACCACGCAAAAUACUGAUUUAAUGGAAAGACUUCUCUCGUAUUUUGAAAUGAUUUGUUCAUCAGCUGUGGAAAGUAGCUCUUCAUCUAUCACCAAGACUGAUGUGCUCGAAGGGCCGAGAAUCCAAUGUGUGAAUGUUGUGGCGAAGAUUACAGAUAGGCUUCAGCUACUUUUUGAAGUCAAGGGCACGUUUGUAAGAUUGAAGUUCCCUGUGUGUAAUGACUCAGUUACUUGGCUCAGUUCUGGAGUUUUGGGACACCCUGCAAAGUACCACGCCACCAAUGUUAGAAUGGUUCCUGCAUUCACAUGUACUGGACUUACUGAAACUCACUAUCAUGGUUUUACUGAGGCCGCUGGCAUUGGCUGUGUGAUGGA